AUGGAAAUGUACGGCAAGGGAAAAGAUUAUGCGGCCUCAGCAUCUAACGUUGGCUUGAAGAGGCAAUGGGUUCCCUCCAAUGUCACCGUGGGCACCAUCGAGGAGCUCAGGGCUGCAGGAUACAUUCCUGCAUUAGCCAUGUGUCGAGCCCCAAUGGAGGGUGAGACCAGCCAUUCUUCCUCCGCCAUCCCCACUCCCAAGAAAGGGGAAAGGGUGGUUUCCAUCCCUCACCUUGUCCAAGAUUUGGGAUUCCCCCUUAAUCCACUCGUAAGGGGUUUGCUGUUUUACUACGGGUUAGAUUUCCACCACCUAGGCCCAAAUUCAAUUCUCCAUAUAGCCACUUUUAUCACUAUAUGUGAGGCUUUCCUCCGCGUCAAGCCGCACUUCAGCCUCUGGCUGAAGAUGUUUAGUGUGAUGCCAAAGAGUAGUGGCCCCCAGCUCGCUGAAUGCGGUGGGGCCAAGAUAAGAAAACUUCCCAAUGUGAUCUGGCCUAAGGGAACCUUUGUGGAGACCAUCAAGUUGUUGCAGCAGGAAUGGUUUUACAUAACCAACCUGCGCACAAAGGGUCAAAAAGAGACCCCCGUCUUUUCGGCGAGCCUCCAAGAAGGCUUGUUUCCUGGACAGAGAAGAGCAUUGAUUGGGGGAACCCGGACAUGGUGA
rnacentral:rRNA from 1 species